GACGAACGCUGGCGGCGUGCUUAACACAUGCAAGUCGAACGAUGAAGCCCAGCUUGCUGGGUGGAUUAGUGGCGAACGGGUGAGUAACACGUGAGUAACCUGCCCUGGACUCUGGGAUAACCCCGAGAAAUCGGAGCUAAUACCGGAUAGGACCUUCUCCCGCAUGGGGGUUGGUGGAAAGUUUUUCGGUUUGGGAUGGACUCGCGGCCUAUCAGCUUGUUGGUGAGGUAAUGGCUCACCAAGGCGUCGACGGGUAGCCGGCCUGAGAGGGUGACCGGCCACACUGGGACUGAGACACGGCCCAGACUCCUACGGGAGGCAGCAGUGGGGAAUAUUGCACAAUGGGCGCAAGCCUGAUGCAGCAACGCCGCGUGCGGGAUGACGGCCUUCGGGUUGUAAACCGCUUUUGUCAGGGACGAAGCGUAAGUGACGGUACCUGGAGAAGAAGCACCGGCCAACUACGUGCCAGCCGCCGCGGUAACAC
rnacentral:rRNA from 1 species